GAUGAACGCUGGCGGCGUGCCUAAUACAUGCAAGUCGAGCGAACGGACGAGAAGCUUGCUUCUCUGAUGUUAGCGGCGGACGGGAGAUUAACACGUGGUUAACCUAACUAUACGACUGGGAUAACUUCGGGAAAUCGGAGCUACUACCGGAUAAUUUUUUGAACCGCAUGGUUCAAACGUGAAAGACGCUCUUGCUGUCACUUAUAGAUGGAUCCGCGCUUCAUUAGCUAGUUGGUAAGGUAACGGCUUACCAAGGCAACGAUGCAUAGCCGACCUGAGAGCGAGAUCGGCCAGCCGGUAUCAGAGACAGAGUCGAGACACCGACAGUGAGCAGCAGUAGGGAAUCUUCCGCAAGGGGCGAGAGCCUGACGGAGCACCGCCGCGGGAGUGAUGAAGGUCUUCUGAUCGUAAAACUCUGUUAUUAGGGGAGAACAUAUGUGUAAGUAACUGUGCACAUCAUGACGGUACCUGAACAGAAAGCCACGGCUAACUACGUG
rnacentral:rRNA from 1 species